UCACUGAAAACAUAGAGGACAAUUAUUUGCGACUUUAGGAGCGCUCAGUGUAAUGGAAACGAAGCCAUCACUUUGACUGGUCAAAUACCACCCCCACUGUUCUUUCCUUCCCAAUAUCUGUUAUUCACUUCAGGACUUUAGUCUGUAGAUUUUGCAACAAAUGAAGACCACCUAGGAGGGAUGAUAUUUGUCCAACCAACUCUUUCUCUGCACUUAUUACUUGGAAAUAAUUAUAGAUUGGCUGAUAUUUUCAAAGAGAGUACAGAGGUCCGGGCGUGCCUUUCCCCCAGUUUCUUCCGGAGAUUGCACCUUACUGAAUGAUCGUACCAGAGCAAAGAUGACUGACAGUGAGACAGUAUCUGUCAGUUCUUCAUCAUUUCACCGCACUCCAUGGUUUCUAAUGAGAAAUUAGCUGGCAUGAGAAUUAUGGAUUUCCGCCCCCGCAAAGGAUACACAUGGACUUCCCGGAUAGAGAGGUCCAACCAAGGUUUCAAACAGUAGAGUUGGAUUGGAGAAUGUGGGGAUGCAUUGAUCUGACUCGCAAUACAGAACUGAUCCUGCUGGUGUUUGGACAAGACAGCCAAGAGCAUCUUGCACAGGCAAGCCCUGCCCAACAGCCUUCAGCAUCAGGGAAAGAGAAUUGAGAAGAAGAUGCUCAACAAGUUCAAGUCCGAAACAGUGGCCUUUUACUUGGUAAAAAUGUGGGCCCAUCCGUGUUAGCUCCCUUGACAUCUGGUAUCUCCACCUUGCUCCUGACACUUCAAAAGUGUGGUAGAAUUCACCAGUGAAGCCAUCUGGUCCUGAAUUUUUCUUUGUUGGCAGAGUUUUUACAUUUUAUGGAGGCACAUACCUAUUGUCACCUGAUCAUCAUCUCGUGUUUUGGGUACUGAGUCAGAGUGGGGAGACGUGUCUUCCUGUUUUCCCUCUCCACCCUCCUGUCACGUUGUCUCAGCAGAGGUAUGGGAGGAGGACCUCCACCCAAGGCCUCAGAGAAAGAGACUACGGAAUGAGGGGUCCUAGCUUAGGAACUGCAAACACGUGAAGAGAUGAUGAGCCAGAGAGGUCCUGCGAGCGUUUUGGACUGCAGCUCCCUUCAGAGACUGCACUUCACUGGCUGUGCAAUGUCUGGGGUGAGGGAGGCAGCCGUCUCUCACGAGGCCUGUCAGGGGAAGCCUUUGUCCAGCAGGACACAUAUGGAGAUUUAACUAGGAGUUGGAAGACUCAUAAAAAAAGACUAACACCGGGGCUCCUGGGUGGCUCAGUGGGUUAAAGCCUCUGCCUUCCGCUCAGGUCAUGAUCCCAGGGUCCUGGAAUCGAGCCCCGAAUCAGGCUCUCUGCUCAGCAGGGAGUCUGCUUCCUUCUCUCUCUCUCUCUCUCUGCCUGCCUCUCUGCCUACUUGUGAUCUCUGUCUGUCAAAUAAAUAAAUAAAUAAAAUCUUAAAAAAAAAAAAAAGACUAACACCAAUUCUUCUAAAAUUCUCCCAAAAAAGUGAAAGAGGAAAAACACUGCACUUUCAAAUUCAUAAAUUCUAUGAAGCCAAUAUGACAGAGAUAUCAAGGUCAAAUAAGACAAAAACACAAAACUAAACUACAGACCAAUUUUCUUUGUGAAUAUUAAUGCCAAACCCUCAACAAAAUACUAGCAUACAGAACUUAACAAGAUAUGAAAAGGAUUAUACACCAUGACCAAGUAGGAUUUAUUCCUGGAAUUCAAGAAUAAUUCAAUGUAGGAAAAUCACUCAUUUUAAUAUGCCACAUUAACAAAAUGAAGGAAAAAAACCCAUAUGGUCAUCUAAUUGAUGUAGAAAAGGCAUUUAACAGAAUCACAACACCCUUUAAUGAUAAAAACACUCAACAAACUAGAAUAGAAGGAAAUUUCCUCAACAUAAAAAGGAAAUUCCAUAGCUAACAUCACCCUCAAUGGUGAGAGACUGAAAGCUUCUCUGUUAAGAUUAGGAACAA